rnacentral:tRNA from 2 species
UGGGGAGUGGCCAAACUGGUAAGGCACCUGACUCUGGAUCAGGCGAUUGCAGGUUCGAGCCCUGCCUCCCCAGCCA